rnacentral:lncRNA from 1 species
AGAACAACUUACCUCUUGUCAGUCACCUGCUUUUCUUUACUUGUCAUACUUUUAGCAUUUACAAAGUUUUAAAAAUGUGUUUAUCAUUUGGUAAUUAUUUUUAAACUUUAUUUGAAAAUAUAGACUGAGUUCUGAACAAAUUAUCCUUAAAUUUCUUCCUCUAGUAGUUACACUUUUCAGUAUCAGUGAAGUUUUAUGACGCCUCUA